GUCCAAAAGUAUUACAAAGCAUUAAAAGAUGAGUUUGUGUAAGAUUAGGUUGUUGGUAGAAAUAACAGUUUACCAAGCCUUUGAUCUUUAGUUGGUCUUAGAGGACGUACAACCACACUGGAACUGAGACAAGGUCCAGGCUAUUUUUGGCCAGCAGUGAGGAAUAUUGGACAAUGAACGAAAGUUUGAUCCAGCAAUAUUAUGUGAAUGAUUGACGGCUAAUUUUUGGUUGUAAAGUUCUUUCGUUAAAAAUGAUAAUGACGUUAUUUAAAGAAGUUUUAGUCCCGGCUAAUCUCGUGCCAGCAGCCGCGGUAAUACGGGAGGGGCAAGCGUUAUCCAUAAUUACUGGGCGUACAGAGUCCGUAGAUUGUAAUAUAAGUUAUAUGUUAAAAUUUAAAGCUCAACUUUAAAAAAAGAUAAAAUACUGUCUUACUUGAGUUUAAUACAGAAAAGCAGAAUUUCGUGUUAAGGAGUAAAUUCCAAAAAUACAUGAAGGAAUAUCAUUAGCGAAAGCGGCUUUUUAGUACAAACUGACAUUGAGGGACGAAAGUGUAGGGAGCGAACAGGAUUAGAUACCCUGGUAGUCUACACUGUAAAUUCUGAGUGCUGUAAUUUAAGAAAAAUCUUAGAUUUUUUAAGCUAACGCUAUAAGCAUUCCGCCUGAGGAGUAUGAUUGCAAGAUUGGAACUCAAAGGAAUUGACGGGAGCCUACAACGAGUGGUGGAGCAUGUGGUUUAAUGCGAUAAUCCGCGCAAAACCUUACCAACCCUUGACAUAUUGAAAAAAAAAUUGAAUUGAUAUAAAUUUUUUUAUCAUUAAUUAGAUAAUUAAUCAAUUUUCACUACAGGUGUUGCACGACUGUCGU
rnacentral:rRNA from 1 species